AUUGAACGCUGGCGGCAGGCCUAACACAUGCAAGUCGAACGAGUGGCGGACAGGUGAGUAAUGUCUGGGAAACUGCCCGAUGGAGGGGGAUAACUACUGGAAACGGUAGCUAAUACCGCCUACCAUCGGAUGUGCCCAGAUGGGAGUAGCUUGUAGGUGAGGUAACGGCUCACCUAGGCGACGAUCCCUAGCUGGUCUGAGAGGAUGACAAGCCACACUGGAACGGGGACACGGUCCUGUCGCCUCCGGGAGGCAGCAGUGGGGAAGAUUGCACAAUGGGCGCAAGCCUUAUGCACCCAUGCCGCGUGUAUGAAGAAGGCCUUCGGGUUGUAAAGUACUUUCAGCGGGGAGGCGUUACCCGCAGAAGAAGCACCGGCUAACUCCGUGCCAGCAGCCGCGGUAAUAC
rnacentral:rRNA from 1 species